rnacentral:lncRNA from 1 species
CUGACAUUUGACGUAUUAAUUCAACUUUUGUCCAACGGAGCAUUGUUGCGAGUUUUCUGCGACCGUUGGAAGUGUUUGUGGAUUUCGGACAACUUUCGAAUAAUUAUUAGUGUUUAUUGCAAAGAAAACUAUUUAAAGUAGUUUUUUAACUAUCUACAAUGGUUCGCCAGUGCAUAGUUUGUUAAAGGUGGACUAUUCUAACUCCUGAUUGAUAUUUGGACGCGUUCCUAUAAAUACUGAGCUUAGACAAUGAUCGAUUUCACUCUUGAAUUUGAAAAAUCAAACUAACGUGUGUCCAAAUUUGUUCUGAUGAUUUUGAUAAGAGCAAUAUUAUGAUCGCCGAAUUAACUGAUCGAAGGCAAAUAAGACCAAAUUCUGAGCCUCAAAUAGAUAGUACCAUUUUUGCUGGGGCUUUAUCAUACAGGUUUUCUUCUAGUUUGUACCGCCACCCAAAAAAUGUUUUAGGUAAAUGAACCUCCAGACCAGCUGAGGGACUAGAGAAGGUCCCUACCUAGUCCCGCGAUUGGCAGUUUGGCUGGCCCCUCAAAUUUGAUUUUGCCUAAAAUCAUACAAGAUAAACUAGCCCUUCUCAAGAAGCCCUUCCCUCAAAACAACAGAAACGGCAUUGGAAAAAGAAGUUGGAAUUAACCAGUAUGUGCUCUUUGUAAGUGUAUUCUGGAUGUUUGACUGACAAGGCUUAAAAGCUCUUGUAUUUUUAACAGAAUGGGAAUAUAGCUGUAUUCAUAACAAACAUAGUAAGACAAUCCUCAUCUUCUGAUCUCUCAAUAGUUGGAUAUUUAUUAUCUCAAGAAAGUCGUCAAAGUAUCAGAAAAAGAAAGAAGUAUGUUAAUGAGGCAUUAUAAUGAUAUUAUGUAGAAAUUUAAGUCUUGUAAAAAUUUGGAAA